GACAGAGGGUGCAAACGUUGUUCGGAAUUACUGGGCGUAAAGCGAGUGUAGGCGGUUUGGUAAGUCGGAUGUGAAAGCCCCGGGCUCAACCCGGGAAGUGCACUCGAUACUGCCAAGCUAGAGUAUCGGAGAGGUUGGUGGAAUUCUCGGUGUAGAGGUGAAAUUCGUAGAUAUCGAGAGGAACACCGGUGGCGAAAGGCGGCCAACUGGACGAAUACUGACGCU
rnacentral:rRNA from 1 species